CAUGUGUAUAUAUGUGUGUGUGUAUGUCCAUGUGUGUAUAUGAAUAUACAUACACACACACAUACACACACGUGCAAGCACACACA